GACAGAGGGUGCAAACGUUGCUCGGAUUUACUGGGCGUAAAGCGCGUGUAGGCGGGCGACUAAGUCGGAUGUGAAAUCCCUGGGCUCAACCUAGGAACUGCAUUCGAAACUGGUCACCUAGAGUGAUGGAGAGGAAAGCGGAAUUCCCGGUGUAGAGGUGAAAUUCGUAGAUAUCGGGAGGAACACCAGUGGCGAAGGCGGCUUUCUGGACAUUUACUGACGCUGAGACGCGAAAGCGUGGGGAGCAAACAGGAUUAGAUACCCUGGUAGUCCACGCUGUAAACGAUGAGUGCUGGGUGUUUCGGGUAUUGACCCCCGAGGCGCCGUAGCUAACGCGUUAAGCACUCCGCCUGGGGAGUACGGCCGCAAGGCUAAA
rnacentral:rRNA from 1 species